CCCGCCGCCACUCUCUCUGGUUCCCCUCGGGAUCCUCCCAAAUCCAUCCUCUCCUUGAUUUCAGCCUCCAUCGAACCUCCCCAACCAGAACUCUCCUCUGGAUCCCCCCAAUCCACCAACGAGCGCCCGCGCUCCCGCAGGAGAGAGACAGGGGCUCGAUCCCCUGCUCAUGCCCAAGCUCCUCCCUCCAUGGUGCGUCACCGCCGGUGAACCCAACCAUCCGGGCUGCGCCCCGCCUUCCCCGUCGACCAGGGAGUGGAGCGGCCAUGGCGCCCGAGCGCCUCAAGUUCUUCAGCCCGCCGAAGGAACUCCGCCGCCUCGCCGAAUCCACGCCUCCAUCGGCCUCUGUUCCGCGCGGCAACGCCGGGAACCGCUCCGCCACGACCUCCUCCGGCCUCGUCUGCCCCAUCCUCGUCGAAGGCCGCCGUUGUCACUCUGGUCCGGCGUGACCAGCCACCUCGUCCUCCUCCUUCGUGCGCCCCUGUGCCCGCGAGCGCCGGGACGCCAGCCUCCUCUCGCGCCCGAGGGGCUCCCCAAGCACCUCGUCCCCGCCGCCAAGUCGUCGCCCCGCCGCCGGAGACCAAGCUGCCGCCGCGCCUGACCCCCUGCCUCGACCUGCUUUUGCGCCCCUUCUUCCUCUGCUUCGAGGACGAGCCAGGCGCCCGCGUUGACUUCUCGUCGCGAGGCUCCAGCCGACCCCCGUCCGCAUCGCCAAGGCCCGGCAGCCGCAUCCAGAUCUGCCGGCCCACGAACCCCUCUGCUCCGACUGGGCCAUAGCCCAUGGGUGAGCAGCCCCCCAGCACGCCCUGCCUCGCUCGCGUUGACCAGGCCGGCGUGGGCCGCACCCCGCAGCCGCAUCCAGCCACGCCGACAUGCCUCCAUCGAAUGGGCUUGGCCCGUGCUUCGGUUUCGUUCCGGAGUUGUGAGGAUUCGUUCGACUACGUU